rnacentral:rRNA from 1 species
AAUGAACGCUGGCGGCGUGUCUUAAGCAUGCAAGUCGAGCGCAGGAAACCGUCUGAACCCUUCGGGGGGACGACGGCGGAAUGAGCGGCGGACGGGUGAGUAACACGUAAAGAACCUGCCCACGGGUCUGGGAUAACCACGAGAAAUCGGGGCGAAUACUGGACGGGUCAUCGGACCGCAUGGUCCGAGGAUGAAAGGCGCUCCGGCGUCGCCCGUGGAUGGCUUUGCGGUGCAUUAGCUAGUUGGUGGGGUAACGGCCCACCAAGGCGACGAUGCAUAGCCGACCUGAGAGGGUGAUCGGCCACACUGGGACUGAGACACGGCCCAGACUCCUACGGGAGGCAGCAGUAGGGAAUCUUCCACAAUGGACGAAAGUCUGAUGGAGCAACGCCGCGUGAACGAUGAAGGCCCUCGGGUCGUAAAGUUCUGUUGUAAGGGAAGAACAAGUGCCGCAGGCAAUGGCGGCACCUUGACGGUACCUUGCGAGAAAGCCACGGCUAACUACGUGCCAGCCGCCGCCGUAA